GAAAAAGGACAAUGUGAAAUACCCCAUUAUUAUGGACAUACAAAAUAAUUCAAAUUCUGGUUGUUUACAUGCUUGUUUAAAUAGGCACCCAUAUAUUUUAGGAAAAAGGAGUGUUUCUUAUAUUAGCGGAGCCAGCGCGGCCGCGCGCGGACCUCCAUAGGUAUAGAAAUAUGGUAAUCUAUGCGACUUUUGUGGUCAUCGCGCGGUUACCCUGUUGUGUCACAAAUCAUCCAGCCAGUAAUCCAGCCGCGCAGUUCUCAGGCCCCUCUCGGUCUUAUGCUUUUAUGUGUUUUUAGUUCAAAGUUCGUAUGUUCACGGGAAAAAAGGCAGCUUGAAAAUAGUAUUUAAUGAGAAAAUAUGCGGGUUCAAAUGGGCUUUGAAAAACCGGGUUCAAAUGGACUUUAAAGAACCGUUUUGUCUGAAGUACGAGCCGAUAGUAAAAUCUACCCGAGUGUUCAUGAAUCCCGCCCGUGGCAGCAGCUAAAAAGAGGACUAAGAGAGACUCUACACUACCAUUCUAUAUUCAUUCACGUCUAUAUCUAUGUAAGGAGUCCUGAGAAGAAAGGGCCUUUGAAUUGAUGUCUGUUUUCGGCUAUAAAAAUCAUUCACUGUCGACGAGUUCCUUGCUAGCAGAAAGUCGACAACUUCACAGUUAACAACAAAAGCGAACACAACCACAGUAGACAAACAGAAAGCGACAAGAAAAAAAAAACAUUGCCAAGGUAAAAUCAACCAAGGACUACCUGAGGGCCAUGAUUGAUUCUAAACACUGGAAGGCAUGAGAAUAGGCAAAUGUCUUAAGGAUAAUAUAGUAGGGGAUUUCUUACUUUUAUACAACUGUAUAAGUGUAAUAUGUUUUUAGAGCAAGAUACUUGCUCUCAAUGAUAAAUCUGUAAAGAAAACUUUUUCUAUCGACC